UAGGGAAUCUUCGGCAAUGGGGGCAACCCUGACCGAGCAACGCCGCGUGAGUGAAGAAGGUUUUCGGAUCGUAAAGCUCUGUUGUAAGAGAAGAACGUGUGUGAGAGUGGAAAGUUCACACAGUGACGGUAACUUACCAGAAAGGGACGGCUAACUACGUGCCAGCAGCCGCGGUAAUACGUAGGUCCCGAGCGUUGUCCGGAUUUAUUGGGCGUAAAGCGAGCGCAGGCGGUUUAAUAAGUCUGAAGUUAAAGACAGUGGCUUAACCAUUGUUCGCUUUGGAAACUGUUAAACUUGAGUGCAGAAGGGGAGAGUGGAAUUCCAUGUGUAGCGGUGAAAUGCGUAGAUAUAUGGAGGAACACCGGUGGCGAAAGCGGCUCUCUGGUCUGUAACUGACGCUGAGGCUCGAAAGCGUGGGGAGCAAACAGG
rnacentral:rRNA from 1 species